rnacentral:rRNA from 1 species
UACGUAGGGGCUAGCGUUGUCCGGAAUCAUUGGGCGUAAAGAGCGUGUAGGCGGCUCGGUAAGUCCGCUGUGAAAGUCCAGGGCUCAACCCUGGAAUGCCAGUGGAAACUGUCGAGCUAGAGUCCGGAAGAGGCGAGUGGAAUUCCUGGUGUAGCGGUGAAAUGCGCAGAUAUCAAGGAGGAACACCAAUGGCGAAGGCGGGUCUCUGGGCCGAUAUUGACGCUGAGGAGCGAAAGCGUGGGGAGCGAACAGG